UCUGCUUGGCUUCUGGUGAGGUCUCAGGGAACUUUUGGCAGAAAUGAAAGUAGGAGCAACAUGUCACAUGAUGAGAGGAAGAGAGAGAUAGAAGGGCAAGAUGGAGUCUGCACAGCUGGGCCAUGACCCAGGAACACUAUGAGGAGAUGCUGGUUCUCCUGUAGCUGCUCCUCUUUAGGUGACCCUGGUGAGUGAUGGUGGUUUGGGGACUAUGAUGGAAGCUAUGACCCACUUCAUUUAAAAUCAUCCCUGAAGAUUGGCCAGAACCAUUCUGGAUUCAUUUCUGAGUGAGACACAUGGCGGCUGCCCUAUUUUCUUCCCUAGGCCUUGGAUCUGAGGCCUCUUUUUGAAUCCUGUCAGCCCUGUCAGCAUUUAGAAUUCCUAAUUAUUUUUCUAAAAUAAACUCUGAGUCAAGAGGAUCUCUCUUCCCUCUACAUUUCCUUCUAACAUCAAUUUUCUAAAAUUCCAAGAGUAGUCUGUCUCACCUCUGUCCUCAGAUUCUGUUUUCUACAUGUGGCAAUGGCAAUGUCUGUGCAUUUUACACAGCUCCUUGGAGAACUUCCGCCCAUCUUUUCUAUUAGUUUGUUCAUUCUGGGAGUAUGGAGGAAAGGGGCUGGGCCAAGCUGGCUUUCAGAGUGGGGAGAGUACUUCUUUCUCAUGGUGAAAUUGCAGGGUGUGUGUGUGACGGGGUAAGCAGGGGGACAGGUGAAGAGAUGGUCAAUGGAGCCUUGGAACUGGUGAGAUUGAAGGUCAGCAGCCUGAAGGCUUCAAAUUCUUCCUCUACAUCUAAUGGGGAUGACACUGGAAUAAUCAAUUAGAUCUUGGUUUCCACCUGCAAAAUAAGAGUAUGACACUGGGAAGAUUCUGUGGUCCCUUGCACAUAUGUCUCUCCAAAUAGACUAUGAGCCCCUUGAAUUAAGGCUGUGAUUUCCAUAUCUUCAUAGUCAUGGUGCCCAGUAUAGGGUCUGACACAUAAUUGCAUCAGCUAGGCAUAAAUUUGGCUGCUAGUAACAGAAACCCACUAAUAGUAGAAUGUGUUGAGGCUGAUUUUCUUCUAUUACAAGAAGAUUAGAGCUGUGC
rnacentral:lncRNA from 1 species